GAAGCAUGCGUCAUACAUCAUUUGCUCCUGAUCCAGGAGAGCCCUCCGCCACCAAUGAAAGAAAAGGUGGGUGAGCCCUAGACGUGAUCCACGCACCUACUCAACAAGGCAGAACGGAUUUCAGUUUAGCAUUCUCUUUUUGAAAAUGCCACCUUGACUGCUGCAGAC
rnacentral:lncRNA from 1 species